AGGGAGCUUGCUCCCGGAUUCAGCGGCGGACGGGUGAGUAAUGCCUAGGAAUCUGCCUGGUAGUGGGGGACAACGUUCCGAAAGGAGCGCUAAUACCGCAUACGUCCUACGGGAGAAAGUGGGGGAUCUUCGGACCUCACGCUAUCAGAUGAGCCUAGGUCGGAUUAGCUAGUAGGUGGGGUAAUGGCUCACCUAGGCGACGAUCCGUAACUGGUCUGAGAGGAUGAUCAGUCACACUGGAACUGAGACACGGUCCAGACUCCUACGGGAGGCAGCAGUGGGGAAUAUUGGACAAUGGGCGAAAGCCUGAUCCAGCCAUGCCGCGUGUGUGAAGAAGGUCUUCGGAUUGUAAAGCACUUUAAGUUGGGAGGAAGGGCAGUAAGUUAAUACCUUGCUGUUUUGACGUUACCAACAGAAUAAGCACCGGCUAACUUCGUGCCAGCAGCCGCGGUAAUACGAAGGGUGCAAGCGUUAAUCGGAAUUACUGGGCGUAAAGCGCGCGUAGGUGGUUUGGUAAGAUGGAUGUGAAAUCCCCGGGCUCAACCUGGGAACUGCAUCCAUAAC
rnacentral:rRNA from 1 species